AGUGCUGCUCACUGGCAGUCAUUCAUGUCAUGUUCAAGAUCUGGACCGAAAGUUAAAGUGUUACAGGAUAAAUGCAGUUCAGCAGAACUUGACUAAUGGUUAGCCUUCUUCAGAUGUACUGGCAAGAAAUCACUUAAAUAAGUGUUGCUCCUGAGACAGCCUAAAAAGAGCAGCCCACACUUCUCAUCAGAAACGCCUUCUACCUGUCAGUCAUUUCGCCCGUUCGAAUAGUUCACCCAAAAAUGAAUAUUUGCAGAUAAUUCACUCACCCUGAGGCUAUCUAGGAGUUUCUUCAUCAAAACAGAUUUGGUGAGAUUUAGCAUUGCAUCACUUGCUCACCAAUGGAUCCUCUGCAGUGAAUGGGUGCCGUCGUAACUAGAGGUCAGACAGCUGAUAAAAUUCAGCAAAUUUCAUUUUUGGGUGAACUAUUUCUUUAAGGUUUGCUGACACUGGAUUUUCUGACAUAUUAAA
ensembl:lncRNA